rnacentral:rRNA from 1 species
GGCCCGCACAAGCGGUGGAGUAUGUGGUUUAAUUCGAUGCAACGCGAAGAACCUUACCAGGGUUUGACAUCCUGCGAACCUCUUGGAAACGAGAGGGUGCCUUCGGGAACGCAGUGACAGGUGGUGCAUGGCUGUCGUCAGCUCGUGUCGUGAGAUGUUGGGUUAAGUCCCGCAACGAGCGCAACCCACGUCUUUAGUUGCCAGCAUUUAGUUGGGCACUCUAGAGAGACCGCCGGUGAUAAACCGGAGAAGGUGUGGAUGACGUCAAGUCAUCAUGCCCCUUACAUCUGGGCUACACACGUACUACAAUGCUACGGACAAAGGGCAGCAAGUUCGCGAGGACAAGCAAAUCCCAUAAACGUGGCUCAGUUCAGA